CGGGAUAUGGCGCAGCUUGGUCAGCGCAUCCGCUUUGGGAGCGGAGGGCCGCAGGUUCGAAUCCUGCUAUCCCGACCA
rnacentral:tRNA from 1 species